rnacentral:lncRNA from 1 species
AUUGUGAAACACUUUAAUUGCAUUUCUCACUUUAACCGGGUCUAACUCACUCACCCAUUGAUGGCUGAAUUAAGUCUGUUAACAAUGAAGGAAAGGAAAAGUCAUACUUCUGAAAAAAAAAAAAUCAGUGAGCAGUAAGUAGUGCCCUCCAGGUAGGAAAAAAAUAUAAUUUCAAUGUUCAUCAUUUAAAAUUAUGGAAUUCUUUUCUUGAACCCUUCUUUUUCUUUGAAUAUAAAAUAUGAGAAUAUAACUAUACAAAUGAUUUAUUUCUGAGAAUGUCAGUAAAGUAUUUUAGAAAGAAUAUGGGCUUUGAAUUCAGAUGGACAGGAGUUUGAUUCCCAAUUCUGUUAUUUAAUGGCUAUAUGAUUGUGACUAAUUUAUUUAACCUCACUGAAUAUUAGUUUCCUCAUUUCUAUAGUGGGAAAUAACAAUAGUUUCAGGGAUGUGGUAAAUAUUAAAUUAGGUCAGUGAUCAUGUUGUGUUUUAGUUGUCUGUGCAUAUCUAAGUAGAUGCUGAACUGUCAACUGAAUAUAUGGCCCUGAAUUUCAGCUCAUGUAUCCAGGUUGGUCUGGACAGGUCUGGUCUAGGUAUAUAUCUGGGAGUUGUCUAUGUACAAGUGGAACAUGACUCACAGGACUGGUUGAGAUUGCUGAGGAUGUGAGUGUGGUGAAUGAGAAAAGAGGAAGAUUUUAAGCAGUUCCCUCAGGAAUUCCAUCAUUUAAACAUGGGUAGAAAAUAAUAAAUGCUGGAGAGAGAGUGGAGAAAAGGAAACCCUCCUACACUGCUGGUGGGAAUGUAAACUGGUACAGCCACUAUGGACAAUAAUAUGAAAAUUGCUUGAAAAACUAAAAAAAUAGAAUUACCAUAUGAUCCAUCAAUCCCACUCCUGGACAUACAUCUGGAGAAACUAUACUUUGAAAAGACACAUGAAGCCAAUAUUCACUGUAGCACUAUUCACAACAGCCAAGGCAUGGAAACAACCUAAAUGUCCAUAAACAGAUGAAUGGAUUAAGAAGAUGUGGUAGAUAUAUACAAUGGAAUAUUACUCUGCCAUAAAAAUGAAUGAAAUAAUGCCAUUUACAGCAACAUAGAUGGACCUAAAGAUUAUUAUACUGAGUGAAGUCAGUUAAGCAAAGAUAAAUAUCAUAUGUUAUCAUUUAUAUAUGUAGUCUAAAAAAGGGAUUUAUGAACUUAUUUACAAUAUAGAAAUAAAUCAAGGACAUAGAAAACAAACUUAUGGGUACCAAAAGGGAAAGUGGGUGGGUGGAAUAAAUUAGGAGUUUGGGAUUAAAAUAUAUACACUACUCUAUAGGAAGUGGAUAACUAACAAGGACCUACUGCACAGCACAGGAAACUAAUUAACAUCUUGUAAUAAUGUAUAAUGAAAAAUAAUCUUAAAAAUAAGAGAUUAAAAAAAUAAAUUAGUUGGAAUUAGCAUCACUGUAUUUUUGUUUCUAUUAUUAUAAUUAUUAUUAUUAUUUGUUCUAUAAGUAUUCUGCUAUGUUUAAAAUGCUCUGAGAGAAAAAGUAUACACCCACUUUUAGAAACAACUUAUUAUAAUCAGCAAGAAGACACAGGUGGCACCUUCAGGACUUACCUAGAACUGUCCUUAACUAGACCAGCUCAUUAGGUACGUUUUCUCUUCCAUGUUACCAUAGGGGACAGUAUUACUGAACUUUCCAGCACCACAUCACAAGGACCCCCUUUUCUUCAGUUUUCCUAAAUCUUUUCCUCACUUUUCUUUAAGACCUCCCCACAGCUUCCCUAUGGUAGUCAGGCUUCUAUGAACACUUUCUGACACUUCCUCAAAGCCCUUUUAGCCUUUGCCCACUACCCAGUUCCAAGGGCACAUCCAUAUUUUCUGGCACUUAUUAUGAUAGCACCCAACUUCCAGGUAUCAAAAUCAGUAUCAUUGUCUACUGCUGUGUAACAAAUUAUUCCAAAACAUAGCAGUUUCUAACAACCACUUAGUAUAUCACAAUUGCUGUGGUCAAGAAUCAGGAAGCCACCUAACUGGAUGAUUUGGGCUCAGGGUCUCUAACGAGACUACAGUCAACACGUCAGUCAGGGUUACAUUCAUUUAAAGGCUUCAGUGGUGCUGGAGGAUCCACUUCCAAGGUGGUUCCUUGAGUGUGCAUUGGCAGAAGGCACAGUUCCUCAUUGGCUCUUGGUAUGGGACCUUAUUUCCUGGCCAUGUAGAUCUUUCUGUAGGGCUGCUUAAGUGUCCUCAUGACACAGAACUGGCUUCUCCCAGAAUGAGUGAUCUGAGGGAGAAAGAGAAAAGGGGACGCUGCAAUGCCUUUAAGAUUAGUGUCAGAAGUCACAUGCUGUCAGUUCCACCAUAUCCUGUUGAUCAGAAGUGAGUUGCUAAGCUCAGCCCACACCCAGGAGAGAGGAAUUAGGCUCCACCUUUUGGAAAGGAGUACCAGGAAUCAGUGGGCUUCUUUCAUUUUCUUAAUGAAUUUCAAAAUGAUCUUGAUACCCAUUAAAAGUAAUGAAGUUGGCAUUCCUGCUGUGGCACAGUGGAUUAAGAA